AUCGUGUAUAAAUUUUAAGACAUCGAUUAAUUUACUAUGGAAAGUAUAGGUUGGAGAAAUCGAAGUAAUCGCGAAAGUGUGUUACUGAAUCGAGUAGUUCGAGAAAAUACGUGUUCGAAGUUGUGCGAGCAUAAUCAGUAAGCGUCCACAGCAUCGGAGUUUGUCAAAGUCCGAAAUACGGAAAGCCAGUCAGAUCGAUGGAUGGUUCGCGAAAGUCAGGUUGGAUGGCGAAUCUUCUCGAUGAUGGAACGGCGUCGUGACAAAUAUUUUGGAUGGAAUAACACACUGUCGAUUUCAGUUUUGCUUGACGAGCCGAGUUUCAUUUAAGAGGAUAGCAGUUUCCAUCCAUUCUUCACCGAUUACUAGCUCGACUGCUUCUCAAGGAGAGGGUGAAUUAAGCUUGAAAGAUGACGUUGGGACGUUCGUCGGAUAUUUUCCUUUACGAUCAAAUUCCACGAAUUCGUCGGCGGUUCAGCAGCCUGUGCAUGGUUUUAUCGCUGUUUAUGACAUCGAACAUAACGUUUCGAAGGAGGAGCAAUCUCUGUCCAAGACUUUCUACGCUCGAUACAUUAAAGGGAACUUUACGAUCAGGCCGAGUUCCCCGCCAAGAUUGAUUGAAAAUGCCCGACUCGAAAUGCGAAACCAUCUCAGGAUUCCCUCUCACCUUACCUGUACCAUCAUUCUUGCCACGCAAAUCGUGUAAACGGAUCGACAAAGGAAGAUGUUUCAA